rnacentral:lncRNA from 1 species
UCUAGAAGCAAGUCUCUGGAACCUUCUAGAAACUUCUUAGUUAGUGGAAGUUGCUUGAGAAGCUUCCUAGUUGGUGGAAGUUGCUUGAGAAGCUUUUUAGUUAGUGGAAGUUGCUUGAGAAGCUUCAUAGUUGGUAGAAGUUGCUUGAAAAACUUCUUAGUUGGUAGAAGUUGCUUGAGAAGCUUCCUAGUUGGUAGAAGUUGCUUGAGAAGCUUCUUAGUUGGUGGAAGUUGCUU